GGGAGGGACAGUGGUGCCCGUGUUCUGACUGACUCUGGGAGGGACAGUGGUGCCCGUGUUCUGACUGACUGACUCUGGGAGGGACAGUGGUGCCCGUGUUCUGACUGACUCUGGGAGGGGGCAGUGGUGCCCGUGUUCUGACUGACUGACUCUGGGAGGGGCAGUGGUGCCCAUGUUCUGACUCACUCUGGGCUGGUGCCCGUGCUGUGACUGAUGACUGACUCUCUGGUUUUGUUUCUGUUUAGAUGAGUUCUGGUUCUCCGAUGGGUCCUUAUCAGAUAAGUCCAAGUGCGCAGAUCCUGGCCUGAUGCCCCUCCCGGACACAGCCACAGGGUUAGAUUGGACCCACCUCGUGGAUGCUGCACGGGCAUUUGAAGACCAGAGGGUGGCAUCCUUCUGCACCCUGACAGAUAUGC
rnacentral:lncRNA from 1 species